GGCUACCAUGUUUGCUGACAUCCUGAGCGUCUAUCGAGCAUCUUCCUGCCGGCUGCGUCUUGGUGACAGCACUUUGGAAAGCAAAGCCUUGUUCUGCGGUACAGGAGCGGCCACAUGCAAGAAAAACCACUUUGAUGACUCCGCCGGACCCGUGUUCACUAGAGGCACGGAUGGCAGAAGUCUACAAGUCGGCAUCCUGUCUUAUUCUGCAGAUUGCACCUCCACCUCAGCAACAAAAGUGUUUACACGUGUAGACGUUUACGUACCAUGGAUCAAGGAGAAUAUAGGAAUGCACGAGAAAUAUGAGCCACUUCUUCUGGCGGUCCUGUAAUAAUUUGUAUGAAAUAAAGUGGGAAAAAAACUUGACGUGCAA